GACUGGCUCUGAGGGUCUGGCUGCGUGAAUUCCAGUAGGCGUGCAACGGACGUCUGUCGUUUUCCCCUUUUAUCCUGGCUGUGACUUUUGGUCGGUUCUCUUUUCAGCCUUAUUUACCCCUACUGGCUUUAAAUGCAGACUGUUCACUAAAACACCCACCCAAGCUCAGGCGUCGGCUUUUCGUCCCCGGACUUUCCCGCCUCCACACUCCCCGGCGGCAUUGUAGCUGCUUGCGGUUACGGGAGACGUCUUCGCAAACUGCUCUCUGUAUAUUGGGGUCACGGGAGUGCUGGGUUAAAAGCAGUUGACUUGCUAAGAUAAGAAAACCAAGGCACAGAGAGAUGAAGUAACUUGUAUGAAGUCCAUCAGCAAGUGGUGGAAUCCCCAUCAGAACCCAAGCACUAGGUUCCAGAGCCACACCCCCUUAGCCACUACAGUAUACUGCCUCCCAUGAAAAAUGCCUCAAGUUCAUCAGGUUAAUCCUAAAGUGACCAAAACAAGGGAUGAACUUGACAAGUGCCAAAGAUGUUCUUUGGGCCUCCCUUUUGUGUGGCACGGAGCCUGAAACCUUCCAUCUGAGGCAUGAUGAUGAGAAUGGUGAAGACCAGGACUGAGAAGAAGUGGUCUGAGUAGGGAGACCAGGAUGAUGAACCAAAACUGCACUCAUCUGCCACAUUUACCUCCCCCCCAAUUAUUGGAAGAGCAGUAGAUAAGAAUUUUAACCAAGAGGGAAAACCGAUGAAGACCUUUGCAAAGGAAAACUACAUCCACAGAGCGGUGCUCUUGCCCUGAAAGGAAGGAUUUACUCCGGUUUGGAAGGAAGUAGAAUAAAUAGAACUGGAAGUGGCAAGGUCACCUUUAAUAUCAUAUGAACUGCCUCUUAACAAGCUUCACAAUUGCUUUGUUUCUUCCUCCCUCGGUUCUAUAAACAGGCCAAGUCAAAGCAAACUCUUAGAGCACACACAGUGCGUGGAGGAAGCUCCCAGAGCUGUGAGGAAGGGGAGGCUGCAGGCUCCGUGGGGCCUGUCCCGCACGCCAGGGUUACAAUUGUGUUAUGGUGUGGUGGCUAGAAAGGAAAACUGCUUGUUUUUAAAGGAAGGCGUUAUAUUGUCCUAAAUUCCUGUGUAUAAAAUAUAGGACAAACAAGUUACAGUGGGAAUCUUUAAUUCAACUAUGUGGAAUAUAUGGCAUAUUUGCCUUUCACUUGUCUUUGCCCUACUAAGUAUUGCAUGGUAAUUGCAUAAAUACAAAAAUGUAAUUUUAAAAACGCCUUUCCCUAGGACCCUGUUCAGUUGGUAUUCCUAACACAGUGCAAGCUCUUUACUGGCAUUCUGCUUCACAGAAAGAGUUUUCUUCUUUUCCAAGGUCCUUCAGGCACAGUCCCACCUCUCUGUUGUUUCUCAGCAUUUCUUUUUGAAUGUGUCCUUACAUACAAGGGGACGAAAGGGUAUCUAGGAUUACAGAAAAGGCACUAACAAUGUUGGGAUGCCAGAGGUUUGGGCAACAGACAGGACUGGGAUUUUGGUGUCCUGGCUUUCAGUAAUUCUUCAGUAGUCCAAUGUAGAACUCAUCUUGGAAGACCAUGUGGGUGAGUAGUACUGUCAUUAUCAAAACAAAACAACAAUUCGUGUUGGGGCUUUGAAUCUAAGGUAACCUCACAUGGCUUAAAUACGGAUUGUCAGAGAGAGCAUGAACCAAACAAAACUGAGUUGGUACUUUGUAAAUUGUUACCCCCUGUAGAGAUUCUCCGCAUUUGCCAAGGCGUCUAGGAAAACCUCCCUCAUAUUUUUGAAAGUGCAAUAGAGCUAUGGAGUAUUGUAAUUAUGAAAAAGUGUGAUUAAAAGAAUAUAAAAAAGAUACAAUAAAAGUCUCUAAGGGGUAGAAAGAGAAACCUGGAGGGCAGUCUCUGUCUAAUCUGAAUUUUGGCCAUUUCUUUACAAUUUCAGGAUGAUACGAAUUCUUGGCAUUACAGAUAAUGGGUCAGAGCUGACCUAUUGUGGAAACUCCUAGAUGGAGCUAGAGCUAUG